UACAGGGGGUGCAAACGUUGCUCGGAAUCAUUGGGCGUAAAGCGCACGUAGGCGGUUCGUUAUGUCGGAUGUGAAAGCCCCUUGGCUUAACCGAGGAAGUGCAUCCGAAACUGGCGAGCUAGAGUACGAAAGAGGAUCGCGGAAUUCCCGGUGUAGAGGUGAAAUUCGUAGAUAUCAGGAGGAACACCUGUGGCGAAAGCGGCUCACUGGACCAUAACUGACGCUGAUGCACGAAAGCUAGGGAGCAAACAGG
rnacentral:rRNA from 1 species